rnacentral:rRNA from 1 species
UACGAAGGAGGCAAGCGUUGUUCGGAAUUACUGGGCGUACAGCGCGCGUAGGCGGUUGGGUAAGUCCGCGGUGAAAUCUCGAGGCUGAACCUCGGAAGUGCAGUUGGGACUGGCGAGCUAGAGGACGGGAGAGGUGAGAGGAAUUCCCGGUGUAGCGGUGAAAUGCGUAGAGAUCCGGAAGAACACCGGUGGCGAAGGCGGCUCACUGGACCGGAACUGACGCUGAGGUGCGAAAGCGUGGGGAGCAAACAGG